CUCAUAUAGACAUGUACGGACUUCCAGUUAUGACAUUUCAUAUGAUUUUCGUUUUGUUUUGCAGGCCAGAUCAAUCUCUGAAAAUGCCGGUGGCUUUUGAAAACAGCCAGGUAAUUUAUUCCAUGAUCACCAUCAGCGCGUUUGUAGGGAACGGUCUUGUUAUAUAUGUCCUCGUCUAUCGUUACAAGUCCAUACUCAAGAAACCUUACAGUAUCUUCAUUUUGAACCUGGCUAUCGUCGACUGCCUCACGGCAAUAUCUCUGUUCUUCAGGUAAGUAUUUGCAUUAUUGUUUAGCAGUUUCUAUAUCAUGCAUGGUAAUUUUGAUUCAGUGGCGGACACUUUGCCACUAUUGUCUGCUGCUACCACCUCACAUCUCAUCUCUUCAUUCGAUAAUGCCUCUGACCAGCUCUCCUUCAUCUCAUCUUAUCAAGUAUCAUCACCAUCUCAGCCUUGCUUCCCUCACCUUCUCUACAAUGUCUCCACCCCACAUCUUCUUCUGAUCUCUUCAUUCGAUAAUGCCUUUGACCAGCUCUCCUUCAUCUCAUCUUAUCAAGUAUCAUCACCAUCUCAGCCUUGCUUUCUUCACCUACACCCGUAAAAAUCUCACAUCUUGUAACAAGUCUGCCAGCAAGCAGUCGACAAGAUGUAUUCGCACUGCUUGUCACAAGUUGUCAACAGGUUUGGAACAACUUGUUGACAACUUGUAACAACCUUGUCGAAAUUAUCAGACUUGUUGCAAGGUUGUUCUGACAAGUCUGUUACAUGCUUGAUAUAACAAGAUUGUUACAACCUUGUGUCGUCAACCUUGUAACAUCCUUGUUAUAUCAUGGCU